UGCAAGUCGAGCGAACUGAUUAGAAGCUUGCUUCUAUGACGUUAGCGGCGGACGGGUGAGUAACACGUGGGCAACCUGCCUGUAAGACUGGGAUAACUUCGGGAAACCGAAGCUAAUACCGGAUAGGAUCUUCUCCUUCAUGGGAGAUGAUUGAAAGAUGGUUUCGGCUAUCACUUACAGAUGGGCCCGCGGUGCAUUAGCUAGUUGGUGAGGUAACGGCUCACCAAGGCAACGAUGCAUAGCCGACCUGAGAGGGUGAUCGGCCACACUGGGACUGAGACACGGCCCAGACUCCUACGGGAGGCAGCAGUAGGGAAUCUUCCGCAAUGGACGAAAGUCUGACGGAGCAACGCCGCGUGAGUGAUGAAGGCUUUCGGGUCGUAAAACUCUGUUGUUAGGGAAGAACAAGUACGAGAGUAACUGCUCGUACCUUGACGGUACCUAACCAGAAAGCCACGGCUAACUACGUGCCAGCAGCCGCGGUAAUACGUAGGUGGCAAGCGUUAUCCGGAAUUAUUGGGCGUAAAGCGCGCGCAGGCGGUUUCUUAAGUCUGAUGUGAAAGCCCACGGCUCAACCGUGGAGGGUCAUUGGAAACUGGGGAACUUGAGUGCAGAAGAGAAAAGCGGAAUUCCACGUGUAGCGGUGAAAUGCGUAGAGAUGUGGAGGAACA
rnacentral:rRNA from 2 species